AUGACCAAAGAUAACUUGAGGAAAAGACACAUCAUAAAACCUCUUGAGUGCGUCUUUUUCUCUAAGGCAGAAACCAAUUUCCACUUUUUUUUGACAGCAUUGUGGCAAAAAAUAUCUAGGUCAUUUGUAUCUGAUCACUUUAAGGUUCCAACAGGGACUGACUUUGAAUCUGUAGCCAGAUUCUGGAUCUCUAAUAAGAGAAACUCAACUUUAAAUUCUGUUACUUCCGCAGUCCUGUGGUGUUUGUGGAAGUAUAGGAACUCUAUAAUCUUUAACAACACCAUUUGGACUUCUAUUAUCCAGGUAUGGAGACUGAUCCUCAGAAUGCUCAAAUUCUGGGCGAUCCUUUCUCCGAGAAGUGGCAAGGCAAGAUUGGAGGAGUUCCUGACAGCGCUAGCAGCGUUCUCCCAGCAGCCGUUGCGGAUAACGGGUGGCUGA
rnacentral:rRNA from 1 species